rnacentral:rRNA from 1 species
UACAGAGGUCUCAAGCGUUGUUCGGAUUCAUUGGGCGUAAAGGGUGCGUAGGCGGCGCGGUAAGUCGGGUGUGAAAUCUCGGAGCUUAACUCCGAAACUGCAUUCGAUACUGCCGUGCUUGAGGACUGGAGAGGAGACUGGAAUUUACGGUGUAGCGGUGAAAUGCGUAGAUAUCGUAAGGAAGACCAGUGGCGAAGGCGGGUCUCUGGACAGUUCCUGACACUGAGGCACGAAAGCUAGGGGAGCAAACAGG